rnacentral:tmRNA from 1 species
GGGGCUGUACAGGUUUCGACAGCAUAGAUCUUUGAAGGUGUAAGCAUGUAGUGCGUUGGAUAAUUAGCACUUUAAUCUGAAUACCCAAAACUUCAAAUGGCAAUACUCAGUAUGCCAUGGCUGCUUAAUCAGUGAUUAGGUAGUCAUUAGGGCCGCCGGGCCGGUUGGUCCAUUACCACGCCCCGCCGCCGACUUAAAAACAAAUAUGGAUUGCUGCGUCAGAAGGCUGUGACUGACGCUUAAGACCAUCCAGCUAAGUGAUGUAUUGGUUUGUCUUUUCCCGGUACAUCGCCGACAACUAAUAAAAGAAUAAACAUGUAGAAAGCUUUCGGCGAAUAUGUUUGGACAGGGGUUCGAUUCCCCUCAGCUCCACAA